rnacentral:lncRNA from 1 species
UCCCUCCCUCUUGACCUUCCUCUCUCCCUCCCUUCUUUCCUUCCUUCCUGUGGCUCUCCUUUGUGAGUGACCUACCUCCGCUUCCUACUCUGUGACUUUGCACAUUCAAUCAUUGCCUGGCUCCACCAGCAGUAUAUAAGGUGAAAGAGGAUCCUGCCAGCUGUUCUAGGCCCAGAGGACACCUCUCUCUCUCUCUCUGUCACUCACACACACACACACACACACACACACUCUCUCUCUCUCUCUCACACACACCCACUUAUUGAUGGGGUAAUAGGAUCAAGAGGUAGCUUUGCAUCAUCAAAAAGAAGUCAGUCAUUCUAGCCUGGAGCUUUAGAAGACGAAGUAAAAAAGAAGUCAGACAGUCCUAGCUUUGAAUCCUGGCCCAGCCACUUACUAGGUGGGAGACCUUGGGACAAUCGUAUCCCUUCUGGGGGAAUUUCCCCACCUCCAUGUUGAAGCCAAGGAUGACUAGUACUCCAUGGAAAAGAGGUCAACAUGAUAACCAGGAGAUGUGGUCAUGGGGCAUUAAAAGGUUCGAAGCUGUUCCAGAAAGGAUGUCAUUGAUGUGGAAUACAGGAACUGUGGAUGCCUCCUGAAUGGGAGCUGCAAACGAUUAUCAGAGUCAAGCAAGAGGAAUGGCAAGGCAUGUGCUGAAUAACAUCACAUUAAUAUGGCUCUUAGCUACCUAACCCAUUAGGAGCCAUAAUUAGGAGAGUUUGAAACAGACUGCAAGCAUCUUCUCCAGAAAGAAGCUAGGAGCGAGUCCAGCGGAUUCGUGGAAAUGGAUGGAGGCUGCUGAGUUGAGAGACUG